rnacentral:rRNA from 1 species
UACGGGGGGGGCAAGCGUUGUUCGGAAUUACUGGGCGUAAAGGGCUCGUAGGCGGUUUGUCGCGUCGGGAGUGAAAACACUGGGCUUAACUCAGUGCUUGCUUCCGAUACGGGCAGACUAGAGGUAUUCAGGGGAGAACGGAAUUCCUGGUGUAGCGGUGAAAUGCGCAGAUAUCAGGAGGAACACCGGUGGCGAAGGCGGUUCUCUGGGAAUGUCCUGACGCUGAGGAGCGAAAGUGUGGGGAGCGAACAGG